CGGGAUGUGGCGCAGUCUGGUAGCGCACCUGGUUUGGGACCAGGGGGCCGGAGGUUCGAAUCCUCUCAUCCCGACCA
rnacentral:tRNA from 1 species